rnacentral:rRNA from 1 species
UACGUAGGGGGCGAGCGUUGUCCGGAUUUAUUGGGCGUAAAGCGCUCGCAGGUGGUUCGUCGCGUCGUGCGUGAAAGACCCCGGCUCAACUGGGGGAGGUCGUGCGAUACGGGCGAACUGGAGGCCAGUAGGGGGAUGCGGAAUUCCGGGUGUAGUGGUGGAAUGCGUAGAGAUCCGGAGGAACACCAGCGGCGAAGGCGGCAUCCUGGACUGGUCCUGACACUCAUGAGCGAAAGCGUGGGGAGCGAUCCGG